AUUGAACGCUGGCGGCAGGCCUAACACAUGCAAGUCGAGCGAGCGGCGGACGGGUCAGUAAUGUAUGGGGAUCUGCCCGAUAGAGGGGGAUAACUACUGGAAACGGUGACUAAUACCGCAUACUAACAGAUGAACCCAUAUGGGAUUAGCUAGUAGGGUGGGUAAAGGCUCACCUAGGCGACGAUCUCUAGCUGGUCUGAUAGGAUGACCAGCCACACUGGUACGGAGACACGGCCCAGACUCCUACGUGAGGCAGCAGUGGGGAAUAUUGCACAAUGGGCGCAAGCCUGAUGCAGCCAUGCCGCGUGUAUGAAGAAGGCCUUCGGGUUGUAAAGUACUUUCAGCGGGGAGGCGUUACCCGCAGAAGAAGCACCGGCUAACUCCGUGCCAGCAGCCGCGGUAAUUC
rnacentral:rRNA from 1 species